rnacentral:ncRNA from 1 species
CAGUGGACUGUCAAAAUGGCAGCCUCCGGCAGCAAUGUCGGAGUGAACUCAGGGUGAAUUGACUGGAACCCUUCGUCGGGAACGACAUGGGAAUCAGCAGCCAAUCCUUUGUUGAAGCGAGAAAGGCGGGAAAGGCCUGCCUGCCGAAGCUUCAGCGAAGGCAGGUUCAGAGACUAUCCGCAAGGAGUAGAGUCGAGCUCGGUUCGAUUCGAAGCGCCCUGCAUCCCAUCGGGAUGAAGAUAUAGUCCACGCAUUCGGGAAACCGAGUG